UAUGUGAUCGUCUCUCGCAUAUCAAUAAGCGGAGGAAAAGAAACUAACAAGGAUUCCCCUAGUAACGGCGAGUGAAGCGGGAAGAGCUCAAAUUUGAAAUCUUAAAGGGUUUCCCUUUACGAAUUGUAGUUUAAAGAAGUGUUUUCUGUUGAGGUUUUGGUAAAAGUUCUUUGGAAUAGGACAUCAUAGAGGGUGAGAAUCCCGUAUUUGACCUUUACUUUCAACUUUGUGAUACACUUUCAAAGAGUCGGAUUGUUUGGGAAUGCAGUCCAAAAUGGGUGGUAAAUUUCAUCUAAAGCUAAAUAUUGGCGAGAGACCGAUAGCGAACAAGUACCGUGAGGGAAAGAUGAAAAGAAGCUUUGAAAAGAGAGUUAAACAGUACGUGAAAUUGUCAAAAGGGAAGCGUUUGACACCAGUGUUGUUUUUCUGAAAAUCAAUUAAAGAACUGUUUAUGCUAAGUUGUUUAGACUUUAUCAGCUAACUGUUUAGUUUUGAGCUUUUCUUUAAUGCACUUUUCAGUUAACAAGUCAACAUCAAUUUCUUUUGCUGUAAAAAAGCUUGAGGAAGGUGGCUUGAGAUUCGUCUUAAGUGUUUAUAGCCUCUUGCCUAUGCAGUCGGAGAGAUUGAGGUCUGCAGCGUAGAUCCUUCGGGGCUAAAUGCAUUUGUGCUAAGUUAUAACAUUUCAUAGACAACUUGUUGACUAUGAUUUGUCUUGUAGCUUACUCGCUUAUGUUAUUUUACCUACGCUUAGGAUGUUGAGUAGCGACAUACGCAC
rnacentral:rRNA from 1 species